rnacentral:misc_RNA from 1 species
GAUGAAGAACGUAGCUAAAUGCGAUAAGUAAUGUGAAUUGCAGAAUUCAGUGAAUCAUCGAAUCUUUGAACGCACAUUGCGCCCGCCAGUAUUCUGGCGGGCAUGCCUGUUCGAGCGUCAUUUCAACCCUCAAGCCCAGCUUGGUGUUGGGGAUCGGCACAGGCGCCCUCGGGCGCCCGCCGUCCCCUAAAUCUAGUGGCGGUCCCGCUGCAGCCUCCUCUGCGUAGUAGUUUUCUCCUCGCAAGGGCAGCUCGGUGGCGACCUCGCCGUAAAACCCCCAACUUCUGAAAGGUUGACCUCGAAUCAGGUAGGAAUACCCGCUGAACUUAAGCAUAUCAAUAAGCGGAGGA